AGUGAACGCUGGCGGUAGGCCUAACACAUGCAAGUCGAACGGCAGCACAGUAAGAGCUUGCUCUUACGGGUGGCGAGUGGCGGACGGGUGAGGAAUACAUCGGAAUCUACUUUUUCGUGGGGGAUAACGUAGGGAAACUUACGCUAAUACCGCAUACGACCUACGGGUGAAAGCAGGGGAUCUUCGGACCUUGCGCGAUUGAAUGAGCCGGUGUCGGAUUAGCUAGUUGGCGGGGUAACGGCCCACCAAGGCGACGAUCCGUAGCUGGUCUGAGAGGAUGAUCAGCCACACUGGAACUGAGACACGGUCCAGACUCCUACGGGAGGCAGCAGUGGGGAAUAUUGGACAAUGGGCGCAAGCCUGAUCCAGCCAUACCGCGUGGGUGAAGAAGGCCUUCGGGUUGUAAAGCCCUUUUGUUGGGAAAGAAAAGCAGCAGGUUAAUACCCCGCUGUUCUGACGGUACCCAAAGAAUAAGCACCGGCUAACUUCGUG
rnacentral:rRNA from 1 species